CCUACGGGGUGCUGCAGUGGGGAAUAUUGGACAAUGGGCGAAAGCCUGAUCCAGCCAUGCCGCGUGUGUGAAGAAGGCCUUCGGGUUGUAAAGCACUUUCAGUGGGGAAGAAAGCCUUGGGGCUAAUACCCUCGAGGAAGGACAUCACCCACAGAAGAAGCACCGGCUAACUCCGUGCCAGCAGCCGCGGAAUACGGAGGGUGCGAGCGUUAAUCGGAAUUACUGGGCGUAAAGCGCGCGUAGGCGGUCUGAUAAGCCGGUUGUGAAAGCCCCGGGCUCAACAUGGGAACGGCAUCCGGAACUGUCAGGCUAGAGUGCAGGAGAGGAAGGUAGAAUUCCCGGUGUAGCGGUGAAAUGCGUAGAGAUCGGGAGGAAUACCAGUGGCGAAGGCGGCCUUCUGGACUGACACUGACGCUGAGGUGCGAAAGCGUGGGUAGCAAACAGGAUUAGAUACCCGAGUAGUC
rnacentral:rRNA from 1 species